AUAGUAUCGAAAAAAUGAAAACGGUCACACUUUGAUCACAAGCUGAUAUUUAUAAAAGAAAUUAUUGCGUUAUUAUAACGUAGCCUUUGAAAAGCCGAAAUAACCAGCAGUAUUCUAGAGGCAUAUUGUAGUGAAACAUUAUAAUGGAGAACAACGAAGCCCCCUCCCCCUCCGGAUCCAACAACAAUGAUUUUCCCAUACUUCCGCCGCCGCCGAACGCGAAUGACAACCACUACAACCAAUUCGGGGAUCAUCAAAUCAGCAACAACAAUGCAAACAAGCGACUCCAGCAGACCCAGGCCAAGGUGGACGAGGUGGUGGGGAUCAUGCGGGUGAAUGUGGAGAAGGUCCUGGAGCGGGACCAGAAGCUAUCGGAGCUGGGCGAACGGGCGGACCAGCUGGAACAGGGAGCCUCCCAGUUCGAGCAGCAGGCCGGCAAACUGAAGCGCAAGCAAUGGUGGGCCAACAUGAAGAUGAUGAUCAUCAUGGGCGUCAUCGCCGUCGUGCUGCUAAUCAUAGUGCUGGUGUCGCUUUUCAAUUGAUACAAUUAAACACACACAGAAAAAAAACUAAAGCAAAGCCUACAAAAAAAAGCAAUACAGUAAGGUUAAGGUUCAGAUUGAUCGUUAAAUAUGAUUGUGUACGUGUGUACCCGGCUCCUACUAUAUACACUUACAAUUGUAUAUUAUAUUUUAUAAACGUCUUAAGCUAAGCAACUCUAAAAUUCUGAAGUGUCCGUUUGGCCAACUAGCAGUGACAGUAGUGGUGGAGGAACUAAGGCCAUAGCCACCCAGGCACCGCAGCACUAAAGGCAUCCAAGGAGUGAGGUAAACACACGGAUACAAAACGGAAAAGGACCAAACAACGAGAUCUGGGACGGAAACCUUUGUGGUCUUUCCGAACAGGAGAGGAAAAUCAAAAUGGAAACCUACUAAAAAAUUUCUUCUAGCAUAUAUUCUAUUUAAGAAUGUAAUUAUUAAAACUUAAUGUUACACCUAACACUUUUAUGUAUUGUAGCCGAGACCAGAAGUCCCUUUAAAUGUGUAUUGCAUAUGUACAAUUAUAUAUACGUGUACGUAAUCCAAUUGAAAAUACAUAAUUCCACAUACACUA